CAGCGACUUAUAUUCUGUAGCAAGGUUAACCGUAUAGGGGAGCCGGAGGGAAACCGAGUCUUAAUUGGGCGUUAAGUUGCAGGGUAUAGACCCGAAACCCGGUGAUCUAGCCAUGGGCAGGUUGAAGGUUGGGUAACACUAACUGGAGGACCGAACCGACUAAUGUUGAAAAAUUAGCGGAUGACCUGUGGCUGGGGGUGAAAGGCCAAUCAAACCGGGAGAUAGCUGGUUCUCCCCGAAAGCUAUUUAGGUAGCGCCUCGUGAAUUCAUCUCCGGGGGUAGAGCACUGUUUCGGCUAGGGGGCCAUCCCGGCUUACCAACCCGAUGCAAACUGCGAAUACCGGAGAAUGUUAUCACGGGAGACACACGGCGGGUGCUAACGUCCGUCGUGAAGAGGGAAACAACCCAGACCGCCAGCUAAGGUCCCAAAGUCAUGGUUAAGUGGGAAACGAUGUGGGAAGGCCCAGACAGCCAGGAUGUUGGCUUAGAAGCAGCCAUCAUUUAAAGAAAGCGUAAUAGCUCACUGGUCGAGUCGGCCUGCGCGGAAGAUGUAACGGGGCUAAACCAUGCACCGAAGCUGCGGCAGCGACGCUUAUGCGUUGUUGGGUAGGGGAGCGUUCUGUAAGCCUGUGAAGGUGGCCUGUGAGGGUUGCUGGAGGUAUCAGAAGUGCGAAUGCUGACAUAAGUAACGAUAAAGCGGGUGAAAAGCCCGCUCGCCGGAAGACCAAGGGUUCCUGUCCAACGUUAAUCGGGGCAGGGUGAGUCGACCCCUAAGGCGAGGCCGAAAGGCGUAGUCGAUGGGAA
rnacentral:rRNA from 1 species